rnacentral:rRNA from 1 species
UACGUAGGAUGCAAGCGUUGUCCGGAAUUAUUGGGCGUAAAGCGUGCGCAGGCGGUUGUGCAAGACCGAUGUGAAAUCCCCGGGCUUAACCUGGGAAUGGCAUUGGUGACUGCACGGCUAGAGUGUGUCAGAGGGGGGUAGAAUUCCACGUGUAGCAGUGAAAUGCGUAGAGAUGUGGAGGAAUACCGAUGGCGAAGGCAGCCCCCUGGGAUAACACUGACGCUCAUGCACGAAAGCGUGGGGAGCAAACAGG